rnacentral:rRNA from 1 species
AACGAACGCUGGCGGCAUGCCUAACACAUGCAAGUCGAACGAGACCUUCGGGUCUAGUGGCGCACGGGUGCGUAAAGCGUGGGAACCUGCCCUUAGGUUCGGAAUAACUCCCCGAAAGGGGUGCUAAUACCGGAUAAUGUCUUCGGACCAAAGAUUUAACGCAUUUGGAUGGGCCCGCGUUGGAUUAGCUAGUUGGUAGGGUAAAAGCCUACCAAGGCGACGAUCCAUAGCUGGUCUGAGAGGAUGAUCAGCCACACUGGGACUGAGACACGGCCCAGACUCCUACGGGAGGCAGCAGUGGGGAAUAUUGGACAAUGGGCGAAAGCCUGAUCCAGCAAUGCCGCGUGAGUGAUGAAGGCCUGAGGGUUGUAAAGCUCUUUUACCCGGGAUGAUAAUGACAGUACCGGGAGAAUAAGCUCCGGCUAACUCCGUG